AGUGAACGCUGGCGGUAGGCCUAACACAUGCAAGUCGAACGGCAGCACAGUAAGAGCUUGCUCUUACGGGUGGCGAGUGGCGGACGGGUGAGGAAUACAUCGGAAUCUACUUUUUCGUGGGGGAAAACGUAGGGAAACUUACGCUAAUACCGCAUACGACCUACGGGUGAAAGCAGGGGAUCUUCGGACCUUGCGCGAUUGAAUGAGCCGAUGUCGGAUUAGCUAGUUGGCGGGGUAAAGGCCCACCAAGGCGACGAUCCGUAGCUGGUCUGAGAGGAUGAUCAGCCACACUGGAACUGAGACACGGUCCAGACUCCUACGGGAGGCAGCAGUGGGGAAUAUUGGACAAUGGGCGCAAGCCUGAUCCAGCCAUACCGCGUGGGUGAAGAAGGCCUUCGGGUUGUAAAGCCCUUUUGUUGGGAAAGAAAAGCAGCAGGUUAAUACCCCGCUGUUCUGACGGUACCCAAAGAAUAAGCACCGGCUAACUUCGUG
rnacentral:rRNA from 1 species